rnacentral:rRNA from 1 species
UACAGAGGGUGCGAGCGUUAAUCGGAAUUACUGGGCGUAAAGCGUGCGUAGACGGUAAUGUAAGUCAGAUGUGAAAGCCCCGGGCUUAACCUGGGAACUGCAUUUGAUACUACUGAGCUUGAGUACGGGAGAGGAUAGUGGAAUUCCCAGUGUAGAGGUGAAAUUCGUAGAUAUUCGGAAGAACACCAGUGGCGAAGGCGGCUCACUGGCCCGUUACCGACGCUCAGGCGCGACAGCGUGGGGAGCAAACAGG